rnacentral:rRNA from 1 species
AGAGUUUGAUCCUGGCUCAGAAUCAACGCUGGCGGCGCGCUUAACACAUGCAAGUCGAACGAGAAAGUGGAGCAAUCCAUGAGUAAAGUGGCGUACGGGUGAGUAACACGUGGAUUAUCUGCCCUUGAGUGGGGAAUAACGAUGGGAAACCGUCGCUAAUACCGCAUAUUCCCGAGAGGGGAAAGCAGCAAUGCGCUGAGAGAGGAGCCCGCGGCCGAUUAGCUAGUUGGCAGGGUAAAAGCCUACCAAGGCAGAGAUCGGUAGCCGGCCUGAGAGGGCACACGGCCACACUGGCACUGAAACACGGGCCAGACUCCUACGGGAGGCAGCAGUGGGGAAUCUUGCACAAUGGGGGAAACCCUGAUGCAGCGACGCCGCGUGAGCGAUGAAGCCCUUCGGGGUGUAAAGCUCUUUCGGCAGGGAAGAUAGUGACGGUACCUGCAGAAGCAGCUGCGGCUAACUACGUGCCAGCAGCCGCGGUAAUACGUAGGCAGCGAGCGUUGUUCGGAGUUACUGGGCGUAAAGGGUGUGUAGGCGGUUGUUUAAGUUUGGUGUGAAAUCUCCCGGCUCAACUGGGAGGGUGCGCCGAAUACUGAAUGACUAGAGUACGGGAGAGGAAAGUGGAAUUCCUGGUGUAGCGGUGAAAUGCGUAGAUAUCAGGAGGAACACCGGUGGUGUAGACGGCUUUCUGGACCGUAACUGACGCUGAGACACGAAAGCGUGGGUAGCAAACAGGAUUAGAUACCCUAGUAGUCC